rnacentral:rRNA from 1 species
UAUAACCGGCGAUUUCCGAAUGGGGAAACCCAGUGUGUUUCGACACACUAUCAUUAACUGAAUCCAUAGGUUAAUGAGGCGAACCGGGGGAACUGAAACAUCUAAGUACCCCGAGGAAAAGAAAUCAAUCGAGAUUCCCCCAGUAGCGGCGAGCGAACGGGGAGCAGCCCAGAGCCUGAAUCAGUGUGUGUGUUAGUGGAAGCGUCUGGAAAGGCGCGCGAUACAGGGUGACAGCCCCGUACACAAAAAUGCACAUGCUGUGAGCUCGAUGAGUAGGGCGGGACACGUGGUAUCCUGUCUGAAUAUGGGGGGACCAUCCUCCAAGGCUAAAUACUCCUGACUGACCGAUAGUGAACCAGUACCGUGAGGGAAAGGCGAAAAGAACCCCGGCGAGGGGAGUGAAAAAGAACCUGAAACCGUGUACGUACAAGCAGUGGGAGCACAGAGCAAUCUGUGUGACUGCGUACCUUUUGUAUAAUGGGUCAGCGACUUAUAUUCUGUAGCAAGGUUAACCGAAUAGGGGAGCCGAAGGGAAACCGAGUCUUAACUGGGCGUUAAGUUGCAGGGUAUAGACCCGAAACCCGGUGAUCUAGCCAUGGGCAGGUUGAAGGUUGGGUAACACUAACUGGAGGACCGAACCGACUAAUGUUGAAAAAUUAGCGGAUGACUUGUGGCUGGGGGUGAAAGGCCAAUCAAACCGGGAGAUAGCUGGUUCUCCCCGAAAGCUAUUUAGGUAGCGCCUCGUGAAUUCAUCUCCGGGGGUAGAGCACUGUUUCGGCAAGGGGGUCAUCCCGA